GGAUGAGCGGAUCAAAGGUAACGUCUGUUUUGGAGAAAUGCUAGCAUCUCUGGAGGAGCUGGGUGCUGGGGCAGGGACAGCACUGCCAGGAUGCUGGGGGCCCGCUCCUCAUGUGCAGUAAACUCUGCUUCUCCCACAGAUCUGCAAGCCCAGAACGAGAAGGCUGAGCAGGAGAGGGAGGCUGAGAGGGAGAGGGAGGUGGAAAGACUGCAGGAGAUGGAGGACUGGAUUUGUGGAUAUGAGCACGCUGAGCAGGAGUGGGAGGCUGAGAGGGAAAGGGCGGCAGAAGAACUGCAGAGGAUGGAGAACCGGGCUCGCUGCUCUGAAGAGGAAGUGCUUCGGCUGAGAAAGAAACUGACUGAAGAGAAGAAAUAUUAUUACAAGGAAGAAAUGGGAUCUUCUGUAACUGCUGGUGAAUUGAGCAAAUUUCUGAUCAUCUACUCGAGGAAUUGCUGUUCAUCUGUUCAUGGAAUCGCACUCCUUCCUUUGCUCAGGGACUGUGCAACAAUAGCUUUGAAAAGAGUGACCUUCGUGUUUCUGUACACUUUGCAUUUCUUUAGAGUUGUGCUUUGCUUCUGAAAAUGCUAGGUUAAAAAGAAAAUAAAAAAGAUGUCAAGCAUGAACUGGUGUCUAAA
rnacentral:lncRNA from 1 species